rnacentral:lncRNA from 1 species
ACCGUCUUCCUCCCCUUCCCUCUCUGGACCCUCUGCUUGCUCUGUGAACCUGGAUUGAUCUCCACUCACCCGUCACUCCUGAAUGGGGCCCUCGAAGGGAGACACCCCUGACUGUGCUGAUGUUGUGAACGCUGCUGGGCCAGACUGGUGUCUGCAGGAGGACAAAGCAAGGGCUGGUUCUGACUUUGGUUUGAAGGCAGGGAUGAAAAGCCACCAAGACGGCUUUUGUGAAAAUCUGGAAGGACAAGAAAAGCCCACUUAAGUCAUCAGAUCUCAUUUCAUCUAUUGUUAACCUUGAGGAGUGGUGAGCCCGCUGUUCCUGCCAAGCUCUUCAAUACCC